rnacentral:lncRNA from 1 species
UGGUGGAGCUCAUGAAAUAUAGGCUAAGUCGCAGACGAAGGGGAUUGUUGUUGAUCCAUUCAAUAACCGUUGCCAAAUCGUCUUUUAGAAUGAGCUUGAGAUAAUGAAAAAUAGGGGCCACUAACCAUAUAGUUUCCAAAGCAGCACGUAGCUCGGUAAUCGAAGAUCACAUAAUCCUUUUCACUGUAAAACACAAACGACAUGUUAAACAAAACUGUAGCUUAUAAACUUUUGUUUAUAUAUUCCGAUCCAGUGAUUAUAACCGAGAGAUAUUCUGUUCUUAUCCAAUACUUGAUGAACGGCCAGAUGAUGGCCAAGAUCCAUACAUGCAUCCCAUGGCUCCUACUUUAGUUACAAGCUUGCACCAUUUCUUUCAAAGAAAAUAUUUCUUCUCAAGAAACAUCUGAUAAACAAAACGAUUCAAAUUUGCAUAACAACUCCCCUUUUGGGCGCAAAAAGACUAUGAACCCCAGACAGCAACAAGUCAUCCCGAUUCCCAACAGCAGGUUGAUAGAUUCUCUUCAAUUAGCAUCGAUUCAUCGAAGGCCCGGUCGAGAGUGGAAGGGAAAGGAUGGGGUCAUCGUGGCGGCCAUGUCGAGGUUGCUUGUCUUCUGCUUCCUACUCUGCUGCUUCUUGUUCACCUCCUCCUCUUUCUUCUUCUUCUUAUUCUCUCCCUUUAGCUUUGGGUUGGAGGAGGGCUCAUCCUCCCCUUUUGAUGAUGCUUUUGUGGGGAAGACAUGGGCAAAGACUGGCAUGCAAGAAAAGCUAAACUUCAUCUCUGUUGUUGUAAUCUCUGAACUAAUUUCUCUGAACUAAUUAGUUCUAUUGUUUCAA